GACGAACGCUGGCGGCGUGCCUAAUACAUGCAAGUUGAGCGCUGACGGUUGGUACUUGUACCAACUGGAUGAGCAGCGAACGGGUGAGUAACGCGUGGGGAAUCUGCCUUUGAGCGGGGGACAACAUUUGGAAACGAAUGCUAAUACCGCAUAAAAACUUUAAACACAAGUUUCAAGUUUGAAAGAUGCAAUUGCAUCACUCAAAGAUGAUCCCGCGUUGUAUUAGCUAGUUGGUGAGGUAAAGGCUCACCAAGGCGAUGAUACAUAGCCGACCUGAGAGGGUGAACGGGCACAAUGGGACUGGGACAAGGGCCAAGAUCCUAAGGGGAGCAGCAGGAGGGGAUCUUCGGCAAUGGACGGAAGUCUGACCGAGCAAAGCCGGGGGAGGGAAGAAGGUUUUCGGGUCGUAAAACUCUGUUGGUAGAGAAGGACGAGGGUGAGAGUGAAAAGCUCAUCAAGUGACGGUAACUACACAGAAAGGGACGGCUAACUACGUG
rnacentral:rRNA from 1 species